GCACAAGAGUCAGUCGAUCCUAAGCCCUAGGAGAAAUCCGAAGCGAUAUGCGCCCGUUAAAUAAUUUUUUUUUAUUAAAUGUUUGGCGCUAUCUGGGCGAAAGGGAAUCCGGUUCCUAUUCCGGAACCCGGCAGCGGAACCGUUCCAAAUCGGGCUCUCAUUUGAGAACUCGUCGGGGUAACCCGACAAGACCCGGAGACGCCGUAGGGAAAUUCGGAGAGAGUUGUCUCUUCUCUAUAAGCGUUCGAGUUCCCUGGAAACCUCUAGCAGGGAGAUAGGGUUUGGAACGCGAAGAGCACCGCAGUUACGGCGGUGUCCGGAUCUUCCCUACGGACCUUGAAAAUCCGGGAGAGGGCCACGAGGAACCCCGCGCCGGCUCGUACCCAUAUCCGCAGCAGGUCUCCAAGGUCAAUAGCCUCUAGUCGAUAGAAUAAUGUAGGUAAGGGAAGUCGGCAAAUCCGAUCCGUAACUUCGGGAUAAGGAUUGGCUCUGAGGACUGAGUCGUGCCGGGCUUGGUCGGGAAGUGGAGCGGUGUCAACGUGCCGGGCCUGGGCGAGGAGAAAAUUGCGUUUCUGCGCUUUUGGAUCCGAGCUCGGUCCCGUGCCGCUAUAGAAAUCAGAGUACGUAUAGCCAUCAUAAGAUGGAAGUGCCUUCCGCUAGGAGGCGCGGCUGACCAGAGCUAAAGUAGAGUUUGCCUUCUCUACGAUCUGGGAGUGAGGCCAACGUAGUUGGCUCCACGCGCUGGUUUGAGCGUGAUCUCAACCCGCCUCUUUGGAGGCCAAGCGGGGGAGUGCCUGGGUGGCAUUUCUGCCACGAGGAGGCCUAGCACACCAGCCUCUCCGUGGUGGUGACAUCCUUCUCUUGUAAAACGACCUUGUGCUUGCACAGGGGGUCUGGUAUAUCCGAAAGGAUAGGAACGGACCUAAAAGAACCCCUAGUACUAGACAGGAACGGGUAGACGGGAAAGAAUGUCCCUAUCUACUAUCUAGCGAAACCACGGCCAAGGGAACGGGCUUGGAAAAAUCAGCGGGGAAAGAAGACCCUGUUGAGCUUGACUCUAGUCUGGUACUGUAAGAAAACAUGAGAGGUGUAGCAUAAGUGGGAGGUAGUUUUUUUAAACUGCCGACAAUGAAAUACCACUACUUUCAUUGUUUCCUUACUUACUCGGUGAGGCGGAGGGCGUCCGUCGGGGUGAUACCACCUCGGCGUGACGGUAUUCUCGUGCCAAACGCCAAGGGUUGUCGACGUUCGAUCGUACGCCUUGUCGCGUUUAAGAUGUGGAUAUUCCUAAACGGAAUUGAUGCGUCUUAUUCGUUGUGCAAUGGCCGGAUU
rnacentral:ncRNA from 1 species